rnacentral:rRNA from 1 species
UACGUAGGGUGCGAGCGUUGUCCGGAAUUAUUGGGCGUAAAGGGCUCGUAGGCGGUUUGUCGCGUCGGGAGUGAAAACCCAGGGCUUAACUCUGGGCUUGCUUUCGAUACGGGCAGACUAGAGGUAUGCAGGGGAGAACGGAAUUCCUGGUGUAGCGGUGAAAUGCGCAGAUAUCAGGAGGAACACCGGUGGCGAAGGCGGGUCUCUGGGCCGUAACUGACGCUGAGGAGCGAAAGCGUGGGGAGCGAACAGG